UUACCCAGUGAGUCAUAGGAAACCAUUUACUUCCCCAUCUUUCCACUGACCUGCCUAAAGGAUGAUAAUUACCAAGCUGACCAAACACAGAACAAAGUUUGUUUCCAAUGAGGCAUACAUACAUUGAAAUGGAGCUAUGCACCCAGCAGAAGGAAGCUUGAAAUAGAAAUAUCCAGAAAAGAUGUGCUGCUGAGACUCCAUCUUUAGCCUCAUGCAUUAUGCCUUUGUUUUAAAAGAUACAGAAAUCUAAGCAAGGAACUGGAACAAUUUGCUCUGGGCUGGUGACAAAUCCUGUAGGCUGACUGGCCCUGAGCUAACAUCCGUGCCCAUCUUUCUCUACUUUAUAUGUGGGAUGCCCGCCACAUCAUGGCUUGCCAAGCAGUGCCACGUCCGCACCGGGGAACUGAACCGGUGAACCCUGGGCCACCAAAGUGGAACAUGAGAACUUAACCACUGCGCCACCAGGCCGGCCCCAACCUGGGACCUUCUUAUCCUACUCAGAGGGAAUUUUGGACAGAGACACACAGGGAAGAAAGCCAUGUGAAGAUGGAGGCAGAGAUUGGAGUGAUGCAUCUACGGACCAAGGAACACCAAGGAUUGCCAGCAACUACUAGAAGGUAACAAGAGGCCGAGAAGGAUUUUUCCCUAGAGCCUACCACAUGACUCUGCCGCUAUCUUGAUUUCAGACUUCUAGUCUCCAGAACUGUGAAAACAUUUUUUUCUGUUGUUUUUAGUUACUCAGUUUGUGGUUCUUUGUUUUGGAAGGCCUAGGAAACUAAUACAAUGCAUUUGUAAUUUUGAUAAAUAUUUCUGGGUUACCCUUCAUGGACAAUUACCAUGUGCCCUCUCCCCAGCACAGCAUGGCAAUGAUUGUUAUUCUUUAGCCUCACCAACAGAAGAUAUUGUUAAAUUUCUGGGUUGCUGCUCUUCUGAUAGGUGAUAAAUGAUACUUCAGUGUAGUUUUAUAUUUUCCUUUUCAUGAGUGAGUAACUACUCAUAUUUUAAGGGCUAUUAAUAUCUCUUUUUCUGUGAAUUCUCUGUUUAUAUCUUUUGCCAUUCUUUCUGUUUGUUAUUGUCAUUUUUGUUCCAAUUUAUAGUUAUAUUAGGGGAUUACUGCUUUGUGAUAUGUAUUGCAAAUAUCUUUUCCCGUUUAUCAUUUGUCUUUUGAAAUACCGAUUUGCUAAGUAUUUGGUUAGAGUAAUUUAUUAAUCUUUUAUGUGGCUUCUGGAAUUAGAGGGACAGUUAGGAAAGUUUUCUCCACUCCCAGUUUAUAAAGGAAGUCACCCAUGUUUUCUUUCAGAAAUUCUUUUCCCCUUCAUCAAAGCAGUUCAUUGGAAAUCUUGAAAGGAUAAAGUUGGAUCCAACUUUAU
rnacentral:lncRNA from 1 species